GCUGACUUGCAUGUUAGGACUUCUAAAGAAAGCUGCAUCUUACCUUGGGAACACAGGUGGAAUGGAGAGAUACUCUCUAGAGAAAAAGGUGUGUUAUCAUUUGAAAUGAAGGAGGGAGGCAUCUUGGGUCCAGUUCCUAAUCAGGAAUCACCAUGGAAACAGGAGCUACCCCCUUAUACCUUUCUUGUGAGGAAGUGAGGAAGCAAGAACCCCACAGGUGAAGUCCCUACAUAGGAAGGAGUCGUCACCCAUAAUUCUGUCUAACUCCUCCCAUCACUGUCAUCCAGCUGCUUCACUGUGUCUGCUGUGCAGGAAAAGCAGGAAUCCCAGAAGCAGGUGGUGGGAAGGACAGAGAUGGAAGGAUUGUUUCUGGAGUACCUGCCUGCAAUAACCAGUUAUUUCUGCAGAGCAAGUAUUCAGUUUUUCUUCUGCUUGGACAAGGAGGAAAAGCAAGGUCUGUCAAAAAGGCAAGUGCACGCGAAUUGUAGCACAGACUUCACUUGAUAACAUCACAGAGGUCUAAUUAGCCUUUAGAGUGUACAGGACAGACACCAAGUUCAGGAGUUAUUUUUAUUCCUUCAGAUCUCCUAGAAAUGUCUUGCUUUUGGCAGUUCACAUACAAGUGGAGACAACUCUGCGAAGUAUUGCCACUAGUGACUUCGCCCUUCUCAGUGAGCUGGAGAAGGAAGAAGACCGGAUGGGCUCAGUCUCACCUCCUGUCUCAAUAUGUGUCCUGUGUGCUGGAAACAUCCCACCUCAAGGUAUGGGGUCAGGAAGGAGAGAUGGCAUUUGUUUUCCCCAGUCACUGUUACAUGUGAUAGAGCCCUGCUUUCCUGGAAAUUACUGAGCACCUUCCAAUGACAAGCAGUGAAUGAAUUCCCUUUUUUUUUGUUAGUUUGUAUGUAUAGCUUCUGCUUUCCUUAUUAAACUGUCUUUCUCUCAACCCAAGAGUUUUCAGUCUUUUCCAGUUCACUCCCUCAUGCCACUGGGGGUAAAUGAGUGAGUGACUGGGUGGUGCCUAGUUGUCAUCUGGGGUUAAAUCACAACACAACUAUGGAACACUCUUACAAAAGUAGUACUUGAGUUACAUGAAAAAUCAGAUUAUUCUAGACAUAGCAGCAGUUGAGUGAAAAUAUAACCAAAAGAACAGAGCUGGACUAAGACUGUGGAAAUAGUUUUGAUUUGAUAUUCAGGGAAUAUUAAAGUUAUUGUAUUCAGGUCUAAUGAACCAUCAGUGUUUCAAGGGUCAGAAAUAUCUUAAAGGGACAUUUCAGGACACCUAAGAUAGACCUGAAUCCUUCUUUGGAAAUAGCUUCCUUUUUCAUUCUGCUUUUUAGGGCCAUAAAAAAAUAAUUUAAAAACUCUCCAUUUAGUUAGGAAACAAAACUCUAUUAGUUAGGAAACAAAAUUUCCAUUGAGUUAAUUUAAUCUAAAGAUAAUAAUAAUUGCAAGUUGCAUCCUCUAGUUUCACCUAUUUAUUUGUAGAAUAAAUCUAUUGAUGCCAAAUUUUUUAAGAGAACUUGGUGGCAAAAUGGCAGUGUUUCUUUGGAGGUAAUUACUUUUAUUAAAUGAUGCAUUGGUUUUGAAGUCAAAACGUUGAUGAUCCAUCAUUUUCUCGCAUUUGCUUUAAAUAAGACUGCGAUUGAACCUGUCCCAUCAGCACAUCACAGUGUGGAAGCGAAAUAUACUUUGGAAGUACAGUUAGCUUGAUUGCAUGGUACCCUUUUCAGUUAAAAAUAAGUAAUGGAUUUUUCAAAUUGCAUGGGUAAUCUGAAUGAACUAAGACUUAAAAAGCUUGGACAGCCAUUUCUGUGGGAUGAGGAUGCAGGCUGCAGUUAAACUAUGUUACUUUGAAUACCUCUUCGACUACCAGUCUGUGUUCAAAGUCAGAUCCACACUACAAAAAUAGGCAGAUAUGCUGGUUACAA